rnacentral:rRNA from 1 species
UACGGGGGGGGCAAGCGUUGUUCGGAAUUACUGGGCGUAAAGGGCGCGUAGGCGGUCGUGACAAGUCACUUGUGAAAUCUCCGGGCUUAACUCGGAACGGUCAAGUGAUACUGUCGGACUAGAGUACAGAAGGGGCAACUGGAAUUCUCGGUGUAGCGGUGAAAUGCGUAGAUAGUCGAGAGGAACACCUGCGGCGAAGGCGGGUUGCGUGGGCAGUAACUGACGCUGGAGGAGCGAAA